rnacentral:rRNA from 1 species
UACGUAGGGCGCAAGCGUUAUCCGGAAUUAUUGGGCGUAAAGAGCUCGUAGGCGGUUUGUCGCGUCUGCCGUGAAAGUCCGGGGCUCAACUCCGGAUCUGCGGUGGGUACGGGCAGACUAGAGUGAUGUAGGGGGAGACUGGAAUUCCUGGUGUAGCGGUGAAAUGCGCAGAUAUCAGGAGGAACACCGAUGGCGAAGGCAGGUCUCUGGGCAUUAACUGACGCUGAGGCGCGAAAGCGUGGGGAGCAAACAGG